AUUGAACGCUGGCGGCAGGCCUAACACAUGCAAGUCGAGCGGUAACACAGGGAGCUUGCUCCCGGGUGACGAGCGGCGGACGGGUGAGUAAUGUCUGGGAAACUGCCUGAUGGAGGGGGAUAACUACUGGAAACGGUAGCUAAUACCGCAUAAUGUCGCAAGACCAAAGAGGGGGACCUUCGGGCCUCUUGCCAUCAGAUGUGCCCAGAUGGGAUUAGCUAGUAGGUGGGGUAACGGCUCACCUAGGCGGAGAUCCCUAGCUGGUCUGAGAGGAUGACCAGCCACACUGGAAAUGAGACACGGGCCCGACUCCUACGGGAGGCAGCAGUGGGGAAUAUUGCACAAUGGGCGCAAGCCUGAUGCAGCCAUGCCGCGUGUAUGAAGAAGGCCUUCGGGUUGUAAAGUACUUUCAGCGGGGAGGAAGGUGUUGAGGUUAAUAACCUCAGCAAUUGACGUUACCCGCAGAAGAAGCACCGGCUAACUCCGUGCCAGCAGCCGCAGUAA
rnacentral:rRNA from 1 species